rnacentral:pre_miRNA from 1 species
CACGUACUCCCUCCGUCCGAAAAUACUUGUCAUCAAAAUGGACAAAAAAGGAUGUAUCUAAAACUAAAAUACAUCUAAAUACAUCCCCUUUUAUUCAUUUUGAUGACAAGUAUUUCCGGACAGAGGGAGUACAUG